UACAGAGGUCUCAAGCGUUGUUCGGAUUCAUUGGGCGUAAAGAGCUCGUAGGCGGUCUGUCGCGUCGGUCGUGAAAACUUGGGGCUUAACCCUGAGCUUGCGGUCGAUACGGGCAUGACUGGAGUUCGGUAGGGGAGACUGGAAUUCCUGGUGUAGCGGUGAAAUGCGCAGAUAUCUGGAGGAACACCGGUGGCGAAGGCGACGCCUGGACCGGCAUUGACGCUGAGGCGCGAAAGCCAGGGGAGCAAAGCGG
rnacentral:rRNA from 1 species